GAUUAAUGUUCUGAAUGAAACAGUGCUUCCUUCCUCUGUUGAUCAACUUCAUCAUUCUCACUCUGUGAAACACGUUUUUUUUUUUUUUUUUUACAUUUCCUGCUAAGAAUGUAGAUGGUCGAAGGCACAGAAUUAAAUAGAGCACUAUUUUGUAUUGUAUCGCUAUGGUUGAAGCAUUAAAUGAGAUAUGAACUUAAAUAUGUGUCUUGCCAAAGACCCCACCGUCACGUGGCUGGAAUAUUGAGUCCCAGGAGCACUUCUGUUACAUGUGAAAACCUCACUUCUGUUACAUGUGAAAGCCUCCCUUCUGUUACAUGUGAAAACCUCCCUUCUGUUACAUGUGAAAGCCUCCCUUCUGUUACAUGUGAAAACCUCACUUCUGUUACAUGUGAAAGCCUCCCUUCUGUUACAUGUGAAAACCUCCCUUCUGUUACAUGUGAAAGCCUCCCUUCUGUUACAUGUGAAAACCUCCCUUCUGUUACAUGUGAAA
rnacentral:lncRNA from 13 species